CUGCCCUGUGAAGAGGUGCCUUCUGCCAUGAUUGUAAGUUUCCCGAGGCCUCCCCAGCCAUGUGGAACUGUCUGCUGCACGAGAGUCAGAACAUCACUACAAAAUGAAAAACAUGCACCAGGAGAGAAGAGAGGAGAGAAGGCACUGCUAAGGGACACUCGAUUUACUCAAGAUGGAAUAAGUACAAAGUUACAUAGUCAGGAGAACUAGUACAAAAAAGGAAUCAGGUCUGUGUCGGAGUAAAAAUUGCAUCUAGCAAAUUUAAACAGGCAAAAAACAGUUAUUCAAGGCCAAUGCAAUAGAAGAGAGAGGCCAGACCUAUGCCUGAGCACAGCUCCAGUGAAACAAAGGUCUGAAGAAUUUUUAAAAGCCCGAGUGGGGGAUCAUAGGCCACCUGUGUUUGCUAAUUUGCUUCACGCAAAGUGACAACGGCCUCCUUGAGCUUCCUACAUGGGAUGCCUGCUGCAGAACUGUCCCUUAGUGAGCAGUGGUGAAGAGGAUCUGCAAAACGGGAUAAUCUUUCUUGAGCAGGGAGGUGAAAGAACCCAGCAAUGGCAUGGAUGGAUGUCCUUGGAAGAAUGGAAGGCCCCAGUGUGGUGGGGUGAGGCUUACAUAAAAGCACCCCCAAAUGCCAUUCACUUUCUUCUUCCUUCCUAAAAUAAUUGAAACUGCGGCUAUUUGUAAGCACCUGGUCUUUGCCCAGCAUUGUAACAGAGGCUAUAGCAGGAGGCCAGACGUCCAGCUCCCCAGGGAGUAAGGGGUCCCAUGGACACAGCCUGAUGGGACCAGCCAUGAUGGCGGGCAGAGCUGUGUCUGGAAAGGAGUCCAAACACCAAAUUCUAGUAUUGGGAUCUUCAUGGUGAUCAUUUGCAAGGCCUCAAUUCUGCCACAGGCUGUUCUACUAUUCCUUGUUCUACUGUUCCUAGCUUUUUCUUAACACUAUUUGCUAAAUGCUCUUCUUUUGGCCAUAUAAAACUGUUAUUCCUCAGACUACAUACUUAUAAUUUGUGUGUUAUUUUUCAUUCUGCCCUAAAGUUCUAAAGUCCAGAAAUGCCUUUUCAUAUCUUCGCUAUAUACACACACAUAUAUGGAAUAGCAAACUGUGAUUCUCUCCUUGAACCACCCAGGAAUAAUAAAUAUGUGGACUUUUUGAAGGUAGAGACUGUGGCUUGUCAAUGACUGUAGAGUUAAAAAACAUGAGUUAUUUCUUUUGAAUAAGUAGGACAACUAUCACCAGUAUAUUGUAGGUACAAUCAGCUAAACUCUUUUUCCCACAAACGCUGGAUAAACUUUUGUGAUCACAAUUACUGACAUAAUAAUAGUUUUCCUUUCACUGGGAAAAGUCUUCUGCAAUUUUGUGUUCAUUUUGCCUUUUUGCCUGUUUACUGCUAAAAAGCGUGAUAGUCAAAUUGUCUUCUCAUUCAAAUUCUUAACGUUAUGUUGUGAUUUAAAAUCAGAGACAAAAACACAGAGCUGCUUAUUUACAUUUCUCUAAUUUUUUUACCUAACAAAAAAGAAUAAAUCAUUCACAGACAUCUGAAGAAAAGUUACAUAAUUUUAAAAAAUUAUUACAUGGAGAGCUACUAAGGGUAUUGAGUGAGUUAAAUAUCCAGGAAUUGAUGGCUCUGGUCAGUCUCAUUUUACAGAAUCACUGGGGAGUGAUUUGCAUGUUUUGAAUUUUUAGAAUUUACUUGAUAAAAUAACAUGCAAAUGGGGAGAAUAAAGACAAGAACAAAUUUUAAGUGGCUACCUAGAGAGCCAAGUCUUAAAUUCUCCAACCACUCAUUAUUCCUGAGCUUGAGAAUAAAUCAAUGAAUCAAGAUAAAGCAUGAGUGAAAAGGAAUAAUACUGGGAUAGCCACCAAAGUUUAUUUUAGAAUAAAGAAAAAAAAAACAGACUGAACAGUUGUGUAUAGUAGCACUGAGAACAUUAGAAUUUCCUUCUUUUGACCCUUCUAGAUAUACUUAUUGUAAUUGUGUUUGGCUCCAGCACUCCUCUUCUUGUUUUUACUUUGAAUUAGGUCCAGACUUUUUAGCUCCGGGGAAGCUAGGAGUAGUACUAGAAUUGCUCUUUCACUUAAACAGAGCUAAUUGGAGCUACAAUGUUAUUCAUAGACUGGAAAUUAAUGAUGGGAAAGACCUGUUAGAUCAUCUCUUCCAUCUGAUUCUGGCAAUACAGGAUUAUUUUUUACAUUGUGUCCUGGAAUAUUCUGCCUGGUUAAUUUUAAGUGACUAAAAUAAUGGUGCUUUCACUAUUUCCCUUGGGAGACAAUUAUGUAGCCUAAUAAACUUCACUCAGGACAUCAAUUUGAAGAUCAGCCCAGGUUUUCUUUUCACUUCGUUUCAUGCCAUUACUUCUACUUAUACACCCUUGGAUCACCCUAAACAAUUCAUUUUCCUUAUCCAUUCAAUACAGCAAAUUUCCUGGCUACCAUCCUAAAAGAACUCCAAGGAUGGUUUCAUUUGCAUUUCUGAAAAAGGCUAUGGUCUUGCUUAGUGGUGAAGCAAAAUACAGCUAUUCAUUAUUCCAUGAAUCAUGCUUUUCCAAAAGGAGGCAAAGGAAGGCUUUAAAAAAUAAAUAAAUAAAAACCCACACAAGAACCUAGCAUUUGCAUUAUAUCUGCACCUUUAAUUAAUCAGCUUUAAAUGUAUAUUAAAACUUUCUU